UAAAAAAUCCUAGCAAUCUCUUCAGACUGCUUAACAUUUUCUCUCUCUAAAAAAAGAAAAAACCCUAGCGAUAUUGUGAUACAGAGAAAGAGAAAAAGGAAAAAAACCUUAGCGAUCUCUUCUCUUCAGAUUCUGCGAUCAAGUGGAGAUUCGUACGGCCAGACAUCGCCAUACCCUUCCGAACUUAGACCGUCACAACCGGCAUCCGUCAAAGCUAAAUACGAUCAAACGUCCCAAAGUUUUUGAGAUACGGAGAUGGAGAUUGGCGCUAUUGUGGCGAAAGGAGUUUCUGUUUUGGUUCACCAUGUGGAGAGAGACACCAAAGAUGCUUGGGAGGCCUAUAGAAACAUGUGUUUGACAUGCUACCUCCUGUGCUUUUCGAUGGUUUUACUUAUAAUUUUUCUUUUGAUAUACAAACUAACCCCAAUUCAAAGGAAUUGCUUAAAAUCAUUAUUACCCUUUUUGUUCUCUAGGUUGCCAAAUAACUCUUUGUUUUAGCUUUAUUUUGAAGGGAAAAAAAAGUUAAAAUAUUUAUCUUUGAGAGUUUUCCUUUGGAUUAUUUUCUCAAUUGAUGAUAAAGAUUGGUGGGGAGAUAUAUCUAAGAAAGGGGCUCUGCCUUGGCAAAUAACAGCUGUGAUGGAAGACAUUUGAGACUUGCUGGCUUAGUGUAGACAUUUAUAUUUUGUACAUAGAAAUUUGUUGGCAAAAGAAAAGUCUUAGAUGCAUUUUUUUGGGAAAAUAACUGCAGUGCAUAGUAGUUUUUCUAUAUUCAAGAUUUAUAGAAAGCUUACAGAAAUGUUCAAAGGGCUUAAAAA